rnacentral:rRNA from 1 species
GAGUAAUGCUUAGGAAUCUGCCUAUUAGUGGGGGACAACAUCUCGAAAGGGAUGCUAAUACCGCAUACGUCCUACGGGAGAAAGCAGGGGAUCUUCGGACCUUGCGCUAAUAGAUGAGCCUAAGUCGGAUUAGCUAGUUGGUGGGGUAAAGGCCUACCAAGGCGACGAUCUGUAGCGGGUCUGAGAGGAUGAUCCGCCACACUGGGACUGAGACACGGCCCAGACUCCUACGGGAGGCAGCAGUGGGGAAUAUUGGACAAUGGGGGGAACCCUGAUCCAGCCAUGCCGCGUGUGUGAAGAAGGCCUUAUGGUUGUAAAGCACUUUAAGCGAGGAGGAGGCUACUUUAGUUAAUACCUAGAGAUAGUGGACGUUACUCGCAGAAUAAGCACCGGCUAACUCUGUGCCAGCAGCCGCGGUAAUACAGAGGGUGCAAGCGUUAAUCGGAUUUACUGGGCGUAAAGCGCGCGUAGGCGGCUAAUUAAGUCAAAUGUGAAAUCCCCGAGCUUAACUUGGGAAUUGCAUUCGAUACUGGUUAGCUAGAGUGUGGGAGAGGAUGGUAGAAUUCCAGGUGUAGCGGUGAAAUGCGUAGAGAUCUGGAGGAAUACCGAUGGCGAAGGCAGCCAUCUGGCCUAACACUGACGCUGAGGUGCGAAAGCAUGGGGAGCAAACAGGAUUAGAUACCCUGGUAGUCCAUGCCGUAAACGAUGUCUACUAGCCGUUGG